AUACAUUUCUCAGCCUUUUGGCUAAGAUGAAGUUUAAUAUUUGUUCUUAUUAGUUUAAUAUCUGAUAUGUGGACUAUAUGUUCACUUUGAUAUUAAAUUUAUUUUUUAUGGGUAUCAAAUAUGACUGUAUGUCGUCGCAAUGCACGGGCAUUGUAC
rnacentral:snRNA from 1 species